rnacentral:rRNA from 1 species
GAUGAACGCUAGCGGCAGGCCUAAUACAUGCAAGUCGGACGGGAUUGGGGAGCUUGCUCCCCAUGAGAGUGGCGCACGGGUGCGUAACACGUAUGUAACCUACCCUUGUCAGGGGGAUAGCCUCUCGAAAGAGAGAUUAACACCGCAUAACAUUAUUGGAUGGCAUCAUUUAAUAAUCAAAUAUUUAUAGGACAAGGAUGGGCAUGCGGGACAUUAGCUAGUUGGUAGGGUAACGGCUUACCAAGGCUACGAUGUCUAGGGGAUCUGAGAGGAUGGCCCCCCAACCUGGUACUGAGACACGGACCAGACUCCUACGGGAGGCAGCAGUAAGGAAUAUUGGUCAAUGGGCGCAAGCCUGAACCAGCCAUGCCGCGUGCAGGAAGACGGCCCUACGGGUUGUAAACUGCUUUUGCGCCGGAAUAAACCCUUUUACGAGUAAGAGGCUGAAUGUACGGCGAGAAUAAGGAUCGGCUAACUCCGUGCCAGCCGCCGCGGUAA